CUGUGAAACUACAAGGCAAAGAGCCUGGAUGCAGAAAGGGAUAAGGAACAGGAAUUCAUUUCUCCAUUCAGGGCUCUGGGCAUGAAUAUAUGCAAAAAUAUGGACAGAACGGCCACAUCAAGUGAUACGAUAAUUGAGGUAGGAUAACCUGAAGCGUAUUUAAAUACUGAUGGAGAAGAAACUGCUAGAAACGGAGAAGUGACGAAUCUGGAGAGAAGAGAGGAGAGUUGAUGUACAAGGUGGGUGUCCUGAGAAAGUGGCACAGGGUGGGAUGGGAUCCAGAGGAGUAGUUGUGAUCCCAGGCAGGUGUGUAUGGAAGUAGAUGGUUGAGGGAAUUCUUGCUUGAUGGCUUCUAUUUUCUAAGAAGGAAGGUGAGAAUGAAGACUUAUAUUUGCCAGUGUGUGGCAGGAAGAGUCAGCAGGUGGGAGACAU
rnacentral:lncRNA from 12 species